rnacentral:misc_RNA from 1 species
GUAGAAGGCAAAUGUGAAUGUGCUAUGAAAUUAUUAUUUACUUAAAAGCAGAAUAUACAGUAAUCUGUGAUUCAUAGAAAUCGUUAAGCGAAUGAUGCGUUUUAUCCUUUUUAAUUACCUGCUAGUUAGUAUACUCUCGGCAAAGCGAAGGGAGAGGAGAACGACUUACCACACCUCGUUUCAGUCCUCGACGACGAUUGGUUCUGGCAGAUCCCGGAGGAUGGAGAUAGAGAAGGUAGCAUAGAAACGAAGGCGGUAGAAAAUGUUGCGGGGUGCCUUCAAAGAAGAGAAGAGGCGACGACGAAGGAGUGACAAAGACAAUCAUUCGCCCUUGAGAUGCAAGGGGCUGAGACGACUCGUGAAACACCAUCAUCAAGCAUUCAUAAG